CAGUAGCCGCGGUAAUACAGAGGGUGCGAGCGUUAAUCGGAUUUACUGGGCGUAAAGCGUGCGUAGGCGGCUUCUUAAGUCGGAUGUGAAAUCCCUGAGCUUAACUUAGGAAUUGCAUUCGAUACUGGGAAGCUAGAGUAUGGGAGAGGAUGGUAGAAUUCCAGGUGUAGCGGUGAAAUGCGUAGAGAUCUGGAGGAAUACCUAUGGCGAAGGCAGCCAUCUGGCCUAAUACUGACGCUGAGGUACGAAAGCAUGGGUAGCAAACAGGAUUAGAUACCCGAGUAGUCCCUGUCUCUUAUAC
rnacentral:rRNA from 1 species